GUCGGGCGUGGUGGCUCACGUCUGUAAUCCCAGCACUUUGGGAGGCCGAGGCGGGUGGAUCACCUGAGGUCAGGAGUUCGAGACAAGCCUGGCCAACAUGGUGAAACCCCGCCUCUA
rnacentral:SRP_RNA from 1 species